rnacentral:misc_RNA from 1 species
UCCGAGUUGACCCCGGCAGUCUCCCAUGAGUCCCCGGCAUAACCCGCUGGCAACAUGGGACAAGGGUUGCGCUCGUUGCGGGACUUAACCCAACAUCUCACGACACGAGCUGACGACAACCAUGCACCACCUGUGCGCGACCCCAAAGGGACCCGACAUCUCUGCCGGUGCACCGCGCAUGUCAAGCCUUGGUAAGGUUCUUCGCGUUGCGUCGAAUUAAGCCACAUGCUCCGCCGCUUGUGCGGGCCCCCGUCAAUUCCUUUGAGUUUUAGCCUUGCGGCCGUACUCCCCAGGCGGGGCGCUUAAUGCGUUAGCUGCGGCACGGAGAACGUGGAAGGUUCCCCACACCUAGCGCCCAACGUUUACGGCGUGGACUAC